GCGCCCGCCACCACGCCCGGCUAAUUUUUUGUAUUUUUAGUAGAGACGGAGUUUCACCGUGUUGGCCCGGGUGGUCUCGAUCUGCUGACCUCGUGAUCCACCCGCCUUGGCCUCUCAAAGUGCUGGGAUUACAGGCGUGAGCCACCGCGCCCGCCGGAGGUCGCAUUUCAACGUGAGAUUUGUCGAGGAGACAAACAUCCAAACCAUAUCAGUGAGAGUUUUGGGAACCCCUGAACUGGUGAUUGGCUGGGCAGAAAUUAAGAUCUUUCUCUGUUUCCCAUAUUUGCUGAGGAGAAGCCACAAGCUCAAGCGGCUCCUACUGUUGUCCCAGGGAUGCUAGACAGCUGGUCUUCAAUUUGAUCCUGAGUGCAAGUCCCACCUCCAGAGUCUAGUCCCACCUCCUACUUCAUCAGGCAAUGGGGGAGAGAGAAAGGGGAUUUACUGCUUAACGGUUACAGAGUUACCGUUUGGGGGGGAUGAAAAAGUUUUUAAAUAGAUUGUGGUGAUGGUUACACAACGUUAUGAAUGUAAUUAAUGCCGCUGAAUUAUACAUUUAAAAACGGUUCAAUGGAAAUUUUAUGCCACACAUUAACAUAAUGUUAAAAAUGAAUAACGCAAUAUACCAACAACCGUUGAAUUUUA
rnacentral:lncRNA from 10 species